GGGAAAAGGAAGUGGAUUUGAGCAGCAGCUUCCGACCGCGAAUGUUCUAAAAAAAUGUUUUGAUGUGGCUUAAGUGUGUUGUUGGAAUAACUAGAACUUAUAAAGAGUGUCAUGAUAUAGAAAAAAAUUGGCCCCCAAAGUACUGGAACCCUACAACAACCUCACAACAGAGCCCACUAGCCUGACUCAAUAUAUAGUUAUUAUUUGUUACAUCUUCCCUACAAUCCUGUUUACUUUGCAUGACCUGCUGAAGGACUCAAUGGCUGGAGAUGAGGAUGAGGGAACCGCAGGUCACCCUGCUUCCAAAAAGCUGAAAUUGGAGCCUGAGAAGAAAACGGAGAGGUGCCAAAAGGUUGACUAGGAUGACAUACAGAAGAUGCGGGUUUGUCUCCUCAUUGUCUGAGGAGCAGCUUUAACUGCUAUGAGAUCUGCCUUCCCUAAAGCUGCUAUAAAGAAGCUGAUACAGUCCAUCACAGGAUCCAGUCUCUCAAAAUGUGGUUAUCGCAAUGUCCGGUAUUUGCUGGAGAAAUAGUGGAAGACGCUGUGGACGUGUGUGAGAAGAGAGGAGACAUGCCUCCCCUACAGCCCAAGCACAUGAGGGAGGCUAAAGAACAGAGCAGAUCCCCAAUAUAAAGCACAAGAACAUUCUCUUCCACUGAGCCACUCAUGCCUUGCUGAUUAUAGAAGGACAGAGCCAAGCAGGGAUGUAUUCCACCUUUCAGAUGGUGGCAACUUACACACCACUUUAUCAUGUUCAUUCUCUGUAUUCCAAUGUCCACUGGCAUGGAGAAUGUCUGGCUAUGAAGGCAAAUGCAGUAUACUGCUGUCAGGAAUAGUCCAACUCCAAAGUCAACCUCUGUGUUGAGGGUAUUUCUUGGAUAUACUUGUCAAUAAUAGAACGUUUGAUGAAAAUAUUAGAUCUACUUAGUGUUUGUAUAUGUGAUGCUUUAUUAUUUGAGCUGAAGCAUAAAGCUGAAAGAAUGUAUCCAAAAUUGGUCCCUUCUAGUGUCUCAUGGAAAAAAGUGUUUUAAUACAGAAUUUGGGUCAGUAACUGACAUAUUUCAAUAAAUCAAAUGUAUUAUCUUCUCAUUAAUGACAGGUAGUCUCGUAAAUUGAGUUUGUGUGUGUGCAUGUUAUAGGACACUAACCUCAAGCCUGCUCUCUGACCAAUAAAUGUGUAAAAACCAUACUGUGUAAAGAUCAGUCACCACCCUACACUAGGAGAAUAGACAGCACACAAAUAAAGGU